rnacentral:SRP_RNA from 1 species
CGGGUAAGUCUUAUACGACCAGCUCCUGCAGAACUCCCCCAGGCAAGGAAUUGAGCAAGGGUAUGCGGUUGUAGCGGUGCGAUAUAAGUAGCUUACCCU